rnacentral:sRNA from 1 species
AUAGCAACAUUUGAGCCAAGUUUCUGUAUUAAGCCACGGACAGAGCACAGUCAGAGUUUGAUACGUUAAGUGUAAAGCACGCGUUUUGCUUAGAAAAAUAUAAUAAGAAGAAAAAAAAGAAAACGAAGACGAAACGAGAUAAAGAAAAAAAAUUAGUAAAACAAAAGUUGUUUAAUAUCUAAACGAAAUAACGUACAACGAAAUAUUAAAAAAUAAAUAAAUAUUUUAUUUGAGCAAUUUUUUUUUGGUUUGAGAUUAAAUGAAAUAAUAUCCCAAAAAUUCGAAUGAGAACAUAACGAGAGCAAUUGCGAGUUUAAACGACGAGUGUUUCAGAGUAUUUUGUGUGUUUUUUUGAAUGAAUCCAAAAAGAGGCCUACAAAAAUAACCACAAAAGUAAUAAUAACCUAAAAAACGGGUCUCAGACUCUCAGAAAAGCAAAUGAAAUAAAAAAAAAAUCGAAAAAACAAAUAUCAACCUAAAACGUCAACAAAGAUCAGCGAUAUCCCGCUAGCCAGCCAGACAGCCUACCAGUCGA